UUUUGAGGAGCUGUGCACUGUUCUGCAGAAAGACCCAUGUCCUUUACCCGCUCCUCUUUCAUGAAUGGCUCAGUCUUGGGAGGGGAACAAUGGAGUGAGUGUAUCAUCUCCAGCAAUCACAAACCUUUCACCAUAGAUUUCAAAGGCAUAUUCCAACCACAGUACGCUCUGAAAUAUUCUUUAGAAAAGUUAUUUUUUAGGAUCAGUGCUAUCUUUGACUAUGGAAUUUAACAAGAUGGGAAGAAGGGUACUGGCUGCCUGAGGAAGUAGUGAGCUUCCUGUCAUUAGGAAUACUCACAAAUAGGCUAUUUUGUCUCUUAGCCACGACAUUGUAAGAGGCUUUAUUUAAAAAUACUCUACUCAUGACUAACUCCUACCAGUGCGAAUGAGAACGUUUAACAUAGAACAUUUUCUGACUCUGGUCUAGAACACGUGUCAGCAUGAAUCAGCGCUUCUGUUAGUACAACUCCACGACCACGAAGUUCUUUGGAAAAAGAAGACUCUGGCAGCAUUGGGCCUGAGUUUCUGCAAGGUGUCAGCUGGCAGGAACAAAAACCAACUGCUUCCUUUAGGUGGGGUGCAUGUCUUCCGGCUGAUCCAAGCCCCACCACCCCCUGUUGCCUGCCUUAUGAUGGGCCUGUUUCUCUUGUUUUUUGUUACCUGGCCAGUCUCAUUGGUCUUCCGAGCUUGUAACUCUUCUAGGUCGUUUAUUCAUCUUGUCAUGAUGGGAUUAUGCAUGCCUAUGAAAUACCAGGCUGUGACUGUGAGAUUUAUACAAGUGCCAGGACUGGCAUGCAGUCAGAUACAGGGCAUUUGGGGGUGGUUCUGGGUGAAUUCCUCUCUGCCCUGCUAUGGUUUGCUGCACUUGAUUGCUCUAGUCUGCUCUGACUUAAAUAUCAGUGGGAUUGACUUUGGCUUUCUGUGACUGGUCAGUCCAUUCAGAACGGAGCCAGUGAUUCCAGAAAUAUCCUGGUUCUUGGUUGGCUUGAUCUGUGUGAUUGGAUCUGGAAAAUACUCGCCCACUCACCAUUUCCCUGGGAGAGUUCAGUUCAAUCUCUCAGUUGUGUCCGACUCUUUGCAACCCCUUGGA